GUAGGUGGCAAGCGUUGUCCGGAAUUAUUGGGCGUAAAGCGCGCGCAGGCGGUUCUUUAAGUCUGAUGUGAAAGCCCACGGCUCAACCGUGGAGGGUCAUUGGAAACUGGAGAACUUGAGUACAGAAGAGGAAAGCGGAAUUCCACGUGUAGCGGUGAAAUGCGUAGAGAUGUGGAGGAACACCAGUGGCGAAGGCGGCUUUCUGGUCUGUAACUGACGCUGAGGCGCGAAAGCGUGGGGAGCAAACAGGGAUUAGAUACCCUGGUAGUCCACGCCGUAAACGAUGAGUGCUAAGUGUUAGGGGGGUUUCCGCCCCCUUAGUGCUGCAGCUAACGCAUUAAGCACUCCGCCGUGGGGAGUACGGCCGCAAGGCUAG
rnacentral:rRNA from 1 species